UACGUAGGGUGCGAGCGUUAAUCGGAAUUACUGGGCGUAAAGCGUGCGCAGGCGGUUUUGUAAGUCUGUUGUGAAAUCCCCGGGCUCAACCUGGGAAUGGCAAUGGAGACUGCAAGGCUAGAGUUUGGCAGAGGGGGGUAGAAUUCCACGUGUAGCAGUGAAAUGCGUAGAUAUGUGGAGGAACACCGAUGGCGAAGGCAGCCCCCCUGGGUCAAAAACUGACGCUCAUGCACGAAAGCGUGGGGAGCAAACAGG
rnacentral:rRNA from 1 species